rnacentral:rRNA from 1 species
GGUUAAGCGACUAAGCGUACACGGUGGAUGCCCUGGCAGUCAGAGGCGAUGAAGGACGUGCUAAUCUGCGAAAAGCGCCGGCGAGGUGAUAUGAACCUUUGACCCGGCGAUGUCCGAAUGGGGAAACCCAGUGCAAUUCGUUGCACUAUCGUUAACUGAAUACAUAGGUUAACGAGGCGAACCGGGGGAACUGAAACAUCUAAGUACCCCGAGGAAAAGAAAUCAACCGAGAUUCCCCCAGUAGCGGCGAGCGAACGGGGAGCAGCCCAGAGUCUGAAUCAGCUUGUGUGUUAGUGGAAGCGUCUGGAAAGUCGCACGGUACAGGGUGACAGUCCCGUACACGAAAGCACACAGGCUGUGAACUCGAAGAGUAGGGCGGGACACGUGGUAUCCUGUCUGAAUAUGGGGGACCAUCCUCCAAGGCUAAAUACUCCUGACUGACCGAUAGUGAACCAGUACCGUGAGGGAAAGGCGAAAAGAACCCCGGCGAGGGGAGUGAAAAAGAACCUGAAACCGUGUACGUACAAGCAGUGGGAGCACCUUCGUGGUGUGACUGCGUACCUUUUGUAUAAUGGGUCAGCGACUUAUAUUCUGUAGCAAGGUUAACCGUAUAGGGGAGCCGAAGGGAAACCGAGUCUUAACUGGGCGUUAAGUUGCAGGGUAUAGACCCGAAACCCGGUGAUCUAGCCAUGGGCAGGUUGAAGGUUGGGUAACACUAACUGGAGGACCGAACCGACUAAUGUUGAAAAAUUAGCGGAUGACUUGUGGCUGGGGGUGAAAGGCCAAUCAAACCGGGAGAUAGCUGGUUCUCCCCGAAAGCUAUUUAGGUAGCGCCUCGUGAACUCAUCUUCGGGGUAGAGCACUGUUUCGGCUAGGGGGCCAUCCCGGCUUACCAACCCGAUGCAAACUACGAAUACCGAAGAAUGUUAUCACGGGAGACACACGGCGGGUGCUAACGUCCGUCGUGAAGAGGGAAACAACCCAGACCGCCAGCUAAGGUCCCAAAGUCAUGGUUAAGUGGGAAACGAUGUGGGAAGGCACAGACAGCCAGGAUGUUGGCUUAGAAGCAGCCAUCAUUUAAAGAAAGCGUAAUAGCUCACUGGUCGAGUCGGCCUGCGCGGAAGAUGUAACGGGGCUAAACCAUGCACCGAAGCUGCGGCAGCGACGCUUAUGCGUUGUUGGGUAGGGGAGCGUUCUGUAAGCCGUUGAAGGUGUGCUGUGAGGCAUGCUGGAGGUAUCAGAAGUGCGAAUGCUGACAUAAGUAACGAUAAAGCGGGUGAAAAGCCCGCUCGCCGGAAGACCAAGGGUUCCUGUCCAACGUUAAUCGGGGCAGGGUGAGUCGACCCCUAAGGCGAGGCCGAAAGGCGUAGUCGAUGGGAAACAGGUUAAUAUUCCUGUACUUGGUGUUACUGCGAAGGGGGGACGGAGAAGGCUAUGUUAGCCGGGCGACGGUUGUCCCGGUUUAAGCAUGUAGGCGGAGGUUCCAGGUAAAUCCGGUACCUUAUUAACGCUGAGGUGUGAUGACGAGGCACUACGGUGCUGAAGUAACAAAUGCCCUGCUUCCAGGAAAAGCCUCUAAGCAUCAGGUAACAUCAAAUCGUACCCCAAACCGACACAGGUGGUCAGGUAGAGAAUACCAAGGCGCUUGAGAGAACUCGGGUGAAGGAACUAGGCAAAAUGGUGCCGUAACUUCGGGAGAAGGCACGCUGAUAUGUAGGUGAAGCCCCUGCGGGUGGAGCUGAAAUCAGUCGAAGAUACCAGCUGGCUGCAACUGUUUAUUAAAAACACAGCACUGUGCAAACACGAAAGUGGACGUAUACGGUGUGACGCCUGCCCGGUGCCGGAAGGUUAAUUGAUGGGGUUAGCGGCAACGCGAAGCUCUUGAUCGAAGCCCCGGUAAACGGCGGCCGUAACUAUAACGGUCCUAAGGUAGCGAAAUUCCUUGUCGGGUAAGUUCCGACCUGCACGAAUGGCGUAAUGAUGGCCAGGCUGUCUCCACCCGAGACUCAGUGAAAUUGAACUCGCUGUGAAGAUGCAGUGUACCCGCGGCAAGACGGAAAGACCCCGUGAACCUUUACUAUAGCUUGACACUGAACACUGGUCCUUGAUGUGUAGGAUAGGUGGGAGGCUUUGAAGCGUGGACGCCAGUCUGCGUGGAGCCAACCUUGAAAUACCACCCUUUAAUGGCUGGUGUUCUAACGUAGACCCGUGAUCCGGGUUGCGGACAGUGUCUGGUGGGUAGUUUGACUGGGGCGGUCUCCUCCCAAAGAGUAACGGAGGAGCACGAAGGUUAGCUAAUCCUGGUCGGACAUCAGGAGGUUAGUGCAAUGGCAUAAGCUAGCUUGACUGCGAGAGUGACGGCUCGAGCAGGUGCGAAAGCAGGUCAUAGUGAUCCGGUGGUUCUGAAUGGAAGGGCCAUCGCUCAACGGAUAAAAGGUACUCCGGGGAUAACAGGCUGAUACCGCCCAAGAGUUCAUAUCGACGGCGGUGUUUGGCACCUCGAUGUCGGCUCAUCACAUCCUGGGGCUGAAGUAGGUCCCAAGGGUAUGGCUGUUCGCCAUUUAAAGUGGUACGCGAGCUGGGUUUAGAACGUCGUGAGACAGUUCGGUCCCUAUCUGCCGUGGGCGCUGGAGAAUUGAGGGGGGCUGCUCCUAGUACGAGAGGACCGGAGUGGACGCAUCACUGGUGUUCGGGUUGUCAUGCCAAUGGCACUGCCCGGUAGCUAAAUGCGGAAAAGAUAAGUGCUGAAAGCAUCUAAGCACGAAACUUGCCCCGAGAUGAGUUCUCCCUGACCCUUUAAGGGUCCUGAAGGAACGUUGAAGACUACGACGUUGAUAGGUCGGGUGUGUAAGCGCAGCGAUGCGUUGAGCUAACCGAUACUAAUGAACCGUGAGGCUUAACCUU